UUAUGACUCUGUUAACAAGUGACAACCACUCUCAUUGGCCAGACCGCGUGUGUGUAAUUUACACAGUAAGUGGUGCGCGGCUCAGUCAAAACAUUGUUACCUGUUGUUGAUGCUUGAAAGAUUCCACGCUUGUACUCAUGACGAAAAGGCGAGCUGAAGACGUUUUGUUCCACGACACGCCUGUUAAAAGAUCAUGUUUUCGUCCAUUUGACAAAUUUGAUACGCAGUUAGAAAGCAUGGCUGCAGCCGGGUGCGUGAGUCCGCCAUCUCUGCUCGCUUUGUUGGGGAGACGCUGCAAAAAGAGACCGUAUUAUUUCGAAGAUCAGGAGGAACAUCAAGAAACACUUAAACCGCGCAAGCUGUCAAAUAGUGAACAUCGGGUCAGUGCACCACCGAGUGUGCUGGUAAAGAAUUCUGGAAGUAUACGAGAGAGUGCAUCUGCGGACUCUGGUUGCUCAACGGUGACCUCUAAGAAACGUGCACGAGAUAACACUGUCACAAGAUACGAUGCUCCAAGGAUUGCCACACACAAAGAUGAUGAUGGCAAUGACCUAUGCACUUUCAACUCAUUCCAGUACUGGAGGGUCCCUCUACCGGAGCUGGACAUUUCACUCCUUCAGAAUGGAAACCUCUGUGGAUCAAAUGGAGAACCCCCUGCCAAAGAAUUAUCCUGUGAAGCCAUGGAGUCAUAAGUUUUAAUUCAUGAAGGUCUGCCCACCAUGGAACUCUUAUGGGAGGUGGCCACCAGUGGAGGCUGGUGGGAGAAGCUAUAGGAGGACCACCUUUGUCUCAUGGCUUGAAUAGAAUUAAUGGAACGGUGUCAAACGUGCUUUACAUGUGUCUGAUACCAUUCCAUUUAUUAUAUUCCAUCCAUUACAAGGAGCCUGUCCUAUAGCUCCUCCAACCAGACACACUGCCCAUCAGAGCCAUAGCUUUAGAUCUGUACUGUGUAGACCAUGUGGUUCUCAAAGUGGGGUACGUGGACACCUGGCCAGAUCUCAAAAUAUAUACUGAAUAUUACAUUUUAACCUUAAAUGUUAUAAAAUUAAUAUUACAAAAAACAUAUUCAAUUGCUUUUGGCCAAAGGAUCUGUGGAAUAAGUUUAAAGUGUGUAAUACAGUGUGAUAUUAUUCAUCUACAAUUGAUGUUCUUAUCGCUGGGCAACAUGGGCCUGGGAGGCUGACAGGGAUAUUGGUAUCCACAGUACUCCACAAAUAAUCAAUUUGUCAACUCCAUACUCCCCCAAAUUUUUGUUUUGACAUGAAUGCACUGUAAUUUAACCUUUAAAGCCACAACGUUGCCUCAUCGCAAAAUUGCAGCAUAUUAUCUUUAAAGCUGCAACAACAAAACAGCUCUGCCCCAUGACACAAUUUGUAGAUUUGCAGGAAAUUAGCUUUAAAACUACAACAUUUUCGCUCUUUCACCUGGCCUGAGACACUAACUCUGAAAUCUGUCUACAUGGUUAUUGUACCUGCUAUGAACACAAGGAUAAAGCUGUAUGUACAUUGCAUUCGGAAAGUAUUCAGACCCCUUGUUUUUCCCCAAAUUUUGUUACGUUACAGCCUUAUUCUAAAAUGGAUGAAAUAACCCCCCCCCCCCCCUUUUCAAUCUACACACAAUACCCAUAAUAACAAAGCAAACACUUUUUUUUUAGUAAAUUUAUGAAAAAUAAACUGAAAUCACGUUUACAUAUGUAUUUAGACCCUUUACUCAGUACUUUCUUGAAGCACCUUUGCCCGUGAUUAGAGCCUUGAGUAUGCUGCUACCAGCAUGGCACCCCUGUAUUUGGGGAGUUUUAUCCCAUUCUUCUCUGCAGAUCCUCUUCAGCUCUGUCAGGGUGGAUGGGGAGUGUCACAGCAGCUAUUUUCAGGUCUCCUCGGAGAUGGUUGAUCGGGUUCAAGUCCGGGCUCUAGCUGGGCCACUCAAGAACACUCAGAGACUUGUUCCGAGGCCAUUCCUGCGUUGUCUUGGUUGUGCACUUAGGGUCAUUGUUCUGUUGGAAGGUGAACCUUCACCCCAGUCAGGUCCUGAGCGCUCUGGAGCAGGUUUUCAUCAAGGAUCUUUGCUCUGUUAAUCUUUCCCUCGAUCCUGACUCGUCUCCCUGUCAAUGAAAAAUAUCCCCACAGCAUGAUGCCACCACCAUGCUUCACCGUAGGGAUGAUGCCAAGUUUCCUCCAGAUGUGAGGCUUGGCAUUCAGGACAAAGAGUUCAAUAUUGGUUUCAUUAGAGCAGAGAUUCUUGUUUCUCAUGGUUUGAGAGUCCUUUAGGUGCCUUUUGGAAUUCACCAAGCGGGCUGUUGUGCCUUUUACUGAGGAGUGGCUUCUGUUGGGCCACUCUACCAUAAAGGCCUGAUUGGUGGAGUGCUGCUGAUAUGGUUGUCCUUCUGGAAGGUUCUCCGAUCUCUACAGAGGAGCUCUGUCCGAGUGACCAUUGGGUUCUUGUUCACCUACCUGACCAAGACCCUUAUCCCCGGACUUCUCCGUUUUGGCCGGGCGGCCAGCUCUAGGAAUUAGUCUUGGUGGUUUCAAACGUCUUCCACUGUUCUUGGGAACCUUCAAUGCUGCAGAAUUAUUUUGGUACCCUUCCCCAGAUCUGUGCCUCGACAUAAUCCUGUCUAAGAGCUCUACGGACAAUUCCUUUGACCUCAUGGCUUGGUUUUUGCUCUGACGUGCACUGUCAACUGUGGGACCAACAGGUGUGCCUUUCCAAAUCAUGUCUAAUCAAUUGAAUUUACCACAGGUGGACUCCAGUCAAGUUGUAGAAACAUCUCAAGGAUCAUCAAUGAAAUAGGAUGCACCCGAGCUUAAUUUCGAGUCUCAUAGCAAAGCGUCUGAAUACUUAUGUAAAUAAGGUUUUUCUUUUAGACUUUUAAUACAUUUGCAAGAAUUUCUUAACCUGUUUUCGCUUUGUCAUUAUGAGGUAUUGUGUUAAUUUUAGAAUAAGGCUGUAACGUAACAAAAUGGGAAAAGUAAAGGGGUCUGAAUACUUUCCGAAUGCACUAUACAUACCAGGGCUACAGUGUCAUUACCAUGGAAAUACAACUAUAUCUAUAUGGCUUACAGCAUGAAACCAGAGUAAAAUUAUUUCCACCAGUCGGGACCGGCAGGGGCGAACUGGCCAUCUGGCAUUUGAGCUGGUCCAUUUUUGGUCCACUGGGCCUGUCUAACAAGUUCAUUUGUUUUGUUUGCAAAAUGAUCAUUAAUUCAAGGAAAAAAUGGGCUGGUGGGGGGGCCUUGGAUUAUAGGCCGAUGUGUCAGAAAUGCCAGUUCGCCCCUGGGGACCGGUAUUUGUAAGAGCUUUUAUACACUGAACACUAAUUGUUUUAUUACUUUUAGGAGAUAAAUCAUUGACAUAGCGUCAUUAAACGGCAUUCAGUGCUCCUUUUUCAUCUUCAUGUAGCCUACAGUAUAUUGUAUUGGAAUGAAGGGAUGAAAUGUGUUGUAUGCAUCUAGUUGUUGGUACAUUAACCCACCCUGGCUACUUUGAUUGUUUUUCAAAGUGAAUGGACUAUUUUAUUUGAACUAAACCUAAACUAUGCUUUUUCUCUAGCUGGGCUUGCUGUUGGUCAUAACUAGCUGUUGGAUUCUUACUUUAAAUUGCAUUCCAAAUAGAUGGAUUUAUUGAUGAAAUAAUUGAGGUAUUAAUCAAUGAAUGUCUAUGUUAAGGUAAACAUACGGAAGUCGUUACUCUGUUUACAAGUCUGCUCUUCAGUCUGUAAACUGCCGCUCAACAUGUUGUAUACAGUACCAGUACAUUCUUUGUGAGGUAUUUGUUCACCUUGUCAUUGCAGAGUAUUUUGUGUAGAGAGGUGAGGGGGAUUUUUCUUCUUUUUAUCCAUUUUGAAUUUAGGCUGCAACACAAUUUGUUUUUAAGUCAAGUGGUAUGAAUCCUUUCUGAAGGCACUGUAGGUAACAUAAGGCAAGUUUGAGGUCUGUUUUGGUCUAUACAGUUAUCGCUUUGUUCAAUAAAACUAUUAUUAUGUAUACUGUU